GAAAAACCCUUAUGGAGCAGAACUUUCUUCAGUGGGGCUUUGGGACUCACUGAGUCUGCCCCUUGAGUGUGUCUCU
rnacentral:pre_miRNA from 1 species